rnacentral:lncRNA from 1 species
UUAAAUUUUGGCUUUAACUGAUAUUUAGGUGAGCACAAAUAAACACUUAUACUUGUACAAAGUUGAACAAGUAAACACACGUGUUCUUACGCAUGAGACACAUUCGAACUGAUUUGUAGUACUCUAUGUAAAACACGUGUAUCUACUUAUUUAGUUUUAUAUAAAUUUUAAUGUUUAUUUGAGCACACCCAAAAUGAAAGGAUAUAAAUAUGACAAAUAUUUACGUAAGUAUACUUGUUCCCCUUCAAAAUAGAAAAUUGGACCAAUUUACCGA